rnacentral:tRNA from 1 species
UAUUAAGUGGCCGAACUAUUAAGCACUAGAUUUUUAAUCUAGAAAAUGAUUAUUAAAUCCUUAAUGG